CCCUUAGAUGUUCUGGGCCGCACGCGUGCUACACUGACCGGCGCAACAAGUUUCUUUCCUUGGCUCGAUAGGCCUGGGUAAUCUUUGAACGCCGGUCGUGAUGGGGAUAGAUCAUUGCAAUUAUUAAUCUUCAACGAGGAAUGCCUAGUAAGCGCAAGUCAUCAGCUUGCGUUGAUUACGUCCCUGCCCUUUGUACACACCGCCCGUCGCUCCUACCGAUUGAAUGGUCCGGUGAAGCGUUCGGACCGUGGCCUUUGGACGGUUCGCCGUCUGUUGGCUGCGGGAAGUUCGUUAAACCUUAUCAUUUAGAGGAAGGAGAANUCGUANCA
rnacentral:rRNA from 1 species